UACAGAGGGUGCGAGCGUUAAUCGGCAUUACUGGGCGUAAAGGGUGCGUAGGCGGAUGUUUAAGUUAGAUGUGAAAUCCCUAGGCUUAACCUGGGAAUGGCAUUUAAUACUGGACGUCUGGAGUAGAGUAGAGGGAAGUGGAAUUUCCGGUGUAGCGGUGAAAUGCGUAGAUAUCGGAAAGAACAUCAGUGGCGAAGGCGGCUUCCUGGACUCAUACUGACGCUGAGGCACGAAAGCAUGGGGAGCAAACAGG
rnacentral:rRNA from 1 species